GGGAGAGACUUUUGCAGAAUGGGCCACACCUUCACAGGCCUGGCUGCUCUCUGCUCUGUAAGGCCCAGCCUCUUCGUAUCACCUGCAGGGGCAAAGGUGAAUUUUUGGCUCCAAAAGCAAGCUUCAUUUUUGGAGUUGUAGUACCAGAGUGCAAUCUGAAGAAGAUUGCUUUCUAAAGGCCUGCAACAUGAACAGCCUCUUCAUUAUGUGUUCACUGCAGUCAGUGACUGGCCUACCUCGGUGCUGAAAAUAUAGAACAAACAGCAUUCUUUAUAAAGUUGAUAAAGAACAGGUACAUGUUAAUGCUAAAUAAAGAUCUGUUCUUUGAAAUGGAGAAUGGAUGGCAAGCCUAGUUAGAAAGGAAACAUGGUGCUGUGACAAAUAAACUGGACAGUGUUUUGAGCUGUCAAGUGAAGAAGGGGCUGAAGGAAAGACUUCCGGAAAGGAGCUCUGAGGAAAAGAAACAGAGACAGAGAGGCCUACCUAUGCAUCUUUCUCUAAAAUGGCCCAUGGACUAUGUAACAGCCACACAAAGCCAGACUGGAGAUUUCUCUCGUGGCCAUUUCAAAUAGAGCCUGAAGGCUGAUUACUUGGAUGGAAUCAGAGUGCUCCUCCAAAUGCUGCACAGAUACAUUGGGAAUACAAGGAGGAAGUAGAUUUGUGACAUCACAAUUGCUGAUCAACCAGUGCUGUGAACAGCCUGCUUUUGCUGCAAACUGGCAGAACUGGUUUCCUCUAAGCUUCAUCCUGUACAAAGAAUUAUUUACUCUAAACAAUGUGGAAGCACUUUUCUAAGCAUAAGCCCAGAGAAGUUACUUCUCUAAUUAAUAUGAAACAUGAACUAGCAUCAGGUGAGCGGAGUGAUAACCUGCAGAGACAAUGCUACUUCCUCUCCAAUUCCAAUUCAUGCACAGAUCACUUAGGAGAAUCCACAGGAUAGCAUCCAUAGGGUAAAUAUUCUAACCAUAGUGCCAUUUUCAAUCCAAGCGGAUAGAAAUCUCCCAAAUUCUGUGUGGCCUGCAGUGGAACCUGUGUGGCCUGAAGUGAAUCUAGAAGGUGCAGCGAGGUGGCCAAAUUUGCAGCAAGGUGGCCAAAUUUGCAAAUGUGGCAGCCAAUGAAGCAAAGUGAGGCAGAGGAAAAUAACAUGAUGAUGUCACGUCACCCCUUUUUUCAGCUACACAUUACUGAAGAGACUUGGGAGGUGGUGAAUGUCUUAGGCUUCUCCCCAUAAUGUGUAGUUUUGGACCCAAAGCCUGAGACAAUAAAAUAAGAAUAUGGUUGUUGGCUUGUCAGGAUAUGAUGGCUCUUAGAGAGGGAGAAAACAUUUAAUACCUUUAAAAAAUGGCAUCCCACCGUCGCUUUAGAGAAAUUAUAUUUAAUUUAGUGGCUCACAUCUUCUCCAGCUAUUCUCCAGCUACUCUGUGGGUCACAUCAUCAUCAUCAUCAUCAUCAACAACAACAACAAAAUACAAAGAUCUACAAAUUGAAAUUGGAAGACUGUGGCAGAAGAAGACCAAAAUAAUCCCAGUAGUAACUGGCGCCCUAGCUGCAAUUCCAAAACGCCUUGAAGAGCACCUCAACACCAUAGGGGCCACAGAAAUCUCCAUCAGCCAAUUACAAAAAGCAACUUUACUGGGAACAGCCUAUAUUUUGCGAUGAUAUCUAUAACAAUAACAACAAUAUUGAUAAUAAAAUUCAGCCAUCCCAGGUCCUUGGGAAGGACUUGAUGUCUGGAUAAAACAAACCAGUCAAUAAAACUAGUCUGAAUGUGUAAACAAGAAAUAAUAAUGUAAUAUGUAUAUAGAGUUUUUGAACAAAAGGUACACAAAGUGCUUUACAUUAACAAAAGGAAUGCACAAAUGGUUCAAGCUUAGUAGCAUGCUGCCAAAACAAAACA